CAGACUUGUUGGGCAACACGCCGCUGCACUGCGCCGCUUACAGAGGCCAGAAACAGUGCGCCGUUAAGCUUCUUCAGCACAAGGCCAACCCCAACAUCAAGAACAAAAUCGAUCAGACUGUUUUUGAUUUGGCUAACGAUGCAGAAAUGAAGCAGAUCAUUACAGGAAAUGUUAUGAAAGGCAUGACGCGACAUGUUAAAAUGUUUGAGGGGCCUCUUUGGAAGAGCUCGAGGUUUUUUGGCUGGCGCUCCUACUGGGUAGUUCUUCAGGAUGGAGUCUUGUCAUGGUACCCUAAACAGUCAGAUGCAGAUUCAAACACUCACCGGCAAGGUUGCAAACCGCUAACACAAGCGCAGAGCAUGAUUAAAGCGAAAGAUAACUGCUAUUUCACAGUCCGAUGCUUUGACAACACUGUUCACCAUUUCAAAGUGUCACAGACGAACGACCCCGAAUCUACCAGAGAAAGGUGGCUUGAGGCCAUAGAGGAACAUUCAGCCUUUAGCACUCAUUACUGCUCACAGGACCCAGAGAGCGAGGAAGAGGAAGACAACGCUGUGUCUGUACAUGAGCUUUCUGACUCCCUUCAGCGGGCCGAGGCUUGCCAUCAGAAACUGGAGACGGAGGUGUUGGCUCUCCUGUCCAUGGUGAAAGAAGAUGGCCUGGCAGAACGAGUCCCUACAGCAGUUGUUCAGAAGCUGAAGGAGGUCUGUGAAGCCUCCAGUGAGACCUGCUCCUCACUGCACCAGUGUCUAGGGCUUUUUUCCAAACAGGAAGGAGCACGCAGUUUGAAACUGGAGCAGGAGCUGGAGAAGAAUAAGAUCCUGUCGGAGGCUCUGCAGACGCUGGCCACUGAACAUCAUGAGCUGGAGCAGUCGGUGGUUAAAGGCUCGUCGCCCCGCAGCGUCCUCAGCGAAGACGAGUUCCACGACGCUCUGUCGGAUUCAGACUGUGAGCCUGUGCUGAGCAGUUGUGAAACAGCUACCCAUUCGUACGAAGACGGAGAGGACUUCAAUUCCGAGCUCUUCUGCAGCAUCUCGAGUCAUCUCAGCGGCAGGAUGUCCCGGGAAGACCGUCGUGGAGAGGAAGAGGACGACGAUGAGGUGGCCAGUGUUAACGGAGUGAAGAAAUACAGGACAAGUUUACCAGCGCCCAUGUUCUCCAGAAAUGACUUCAGCAUCUGGAGCAUACUGAGGAAGUGCAUUGGGAUGGAGCUGUCUAAGAUCACCAUGCCUGUUAUUUUUAAUGAGCCGCUGAGCUUUCUACAAAGAUUAACAGAAUAUAUGGAGCACACGUACCUCAUCCAUCAGGCUAAUGCUUCAGACGACUCUAUUGAGAGAAUGAAGUGUGUGGCCGCGUUUGCCGUAUCAGCUGUGGCGUCUCAGUGGGAAAGGACGGGUAAACCCUUCAACCCCCUGCUAGGAGAAACAUACGAGUUAGUCAGGGAUGAUCUUGGUUUCCGGCUGAUAUCAGAACAAGUGAGCCACCAUCCUCCCGUCAGCGCCUUCCACGCAGAGGGUUUGCAGAAGGACUUUGUGUUUCAUGGCUCUAUCUACCCCAAACUCAAGUUCUGGGGCAAAAGCGUGGAGGCCGAACCUAAGGGCAUCAUCACUCUAGAACUUCCCAAGCAUAAUGAGGCAUACACAUGGACCAACCCCACGUGCUGUGUCCACAACAUCAUCGUUGGACAGCUGUGGAUCGAACAGUACGGCAGUGUGGAGGUUAUCAACCACAGAACUGGUGAAAAAUGCUGUCUGAGUUUCAAACCGUGUGGGCUGUUUGGGAAGGAAUUACAUAAGGUUGAAGGCUACAUCCUGGACAAGAGCAAAAAGAAAGUGUACAAUCUUUAUGGGAAAUGGACGGAAUGCAUGUACAUAGUUGACCCAGCUUCAUUUGAAACUCACAGGAAGAAUGAUAAGAAAGCAUCAGAAGACAAGAAAAGCAGUAAACAGACAUCAGACGCAGAAGAAACACCUCAGCUAGGUGGAGAUUCACUAGAGGUUAUCCCAGGAAGUCAGUUGCUCUGGAGAAUAGCACCUAGACCAGAAAACUCUGCCCAGAUGUACAACUUCACUACAUUUGCAAUGCAGCUCAAUGAGCUGGACAAAGAGAUUGAAGCGGUCAUCCCAAAAACUGACAGCAGACUGAGGCCUGACAUUCGAGCCAUGGAGAACGGAGAUAUUGACCUGGCCAGCGAGGAGAAGAAGAGAUUAGAGGAGAAACAGAGGGCGGCACGUAAGAACCGCUCUAAGUCGGAUGAUGAUUGGAAGAUGAGGUGCAUAAAUAUUGCAUAUUUUCACAUUUUGCGGGGUUUGCGUUUUCAAAAAGUUAGUACAGUUUAGGGAUGGGCGAUAUGGACUUAAAACUAAAUCACAAUAUUUUCUGGUAUUUAUUGGAAUAAUGAUAUCGAUGAUUAUUCAUAUGCCUCCAAUGAGAGACAAAAAAACUCCUGUUUCUUUAGAUAGGUGGUCUCUUUACUGUACAUGUAAAUGUAAUGUCGGUUUCAUUCAUACUGGAAGCCAGAGGGUGCCCUUGCUCAUAAAAUAGUAAUGUAAUUGAACUGAUGGUGUUCCAGGAAAUCCCUAAUAUGGACAAAGGCUUCCAGCCAUCACCAUAGAUGAGAAAAACCGAAAGACUGAAACGGUUAAACUGAUCAAACAUAAGGACAAUAAACACACAACGGUUUAUUUGUAUUCUUCAAUCCAUCAUGGGUAUUUUUAUAAGAAUAAAGCAUAUUUAUAUAAGCAUAUUUUUCUCCUCAAUUUCACGCCACGUGCCGCAUUUAAUGCACGAGACAAAGCCAACACAUAUGUUGUUGUCACUCCCCACGACUAGUUUAAAAUGUUUCCAUACCUCCGAUUUUCCUCCAAACUUGCUCAAAGUUAAUUCUCCUGUUUUUUUUCUUCUUUGAUUCUUCAAGCUCCAUGUUGCACUUAAUCUACUGAAUAGUAUGCUACAGCGCGCACAGCAGGUGUGAUGCGUUACGCAUGCGAGACUGCGAGUGGACGAGACGCUGCGUAUGACACGAGGACGGUGGCGGGAAAUAUCGGCCCGGCCCGCGGGUCGGGUCGGGUCGAGCCCAGGCUCGGGCAGAGAAUCAAAGCUCUACUUGAUACGCACUUCUGCUGUGUCCGCGGCAGACUUCUACCCAACCCUCAAAGCGGCAUUAUGUCACUAAAGUGAGGGUUUAGGUUGCGAUUUGGGAAAUGGUCUAGGUUUUAUCAUCAUUAUCGUGCAAAGACUAAUUAUUAUUGUGGGGAGAAUUAAUAUCGGUAUAUCGCAAAUGGUAAGAUAUCGCCCAUCCCUACUAUAGUUAUUGUUCAUAAUAAAUCAAAAUGGGAUCUCCUUCAAACAGUGCUUUGCAAAAUCAGUAAUUUUGCUUUUUGAAGAACAUGUUAUAAAAUAUCAGUAAAAAAUGAUGCAUGUAAAACUUUUUUGUGAUGUUAGGGUUUGCUUGUGACUAACUGAAUUUAUUAGACCACUUUCAUUCAUAGCUUAAUGGUAUUUACUUAAGUAACUCAUUGAUGUUUAACAGCACUCUUAGUCCUGGUUCACUAGACACUGUCCUUUGCAUUUAACCCCAUUUUCCCCUUCAUUUCUUCUGCCAUUAUCAUCUGUCCUCUGACUUUGCUGCGGUGAGCAGAAACAUCAGCUCUGGCCCCAGGUGGUUUCAUCAAGGUCCAAAUCCACACAACGGCUCUCAGGACUGGCUGUUCUCCAAUGGUUACUGGGACCGUGAUUAUUCCCAAUUACCAGACAUCUACUGACCUACAGGAAUUGUAAAUUGUAUA